CGACCUUAGUUGCCAGCAUUCAGUUGGGCGACUCUAAGGUGACUGCCGGCUAAAAGUACGGAGGAAGGUGGGGAGUGACGUCAAAUCAUCAUGCCCCUUAUGACCUGGGCUACACACGUGCUACAAUGGGCGGUACAAAGGGUCGCGAACCCGCGAGGGGGAGCCAAUCCCAAAAAGCCGCUCUCAGUUCGGAUUGCAGGCUGCAACUCGCCUGCAUGAAGCCGGAAUCGCUAGUAAUCGCGGAUCAGCAUGCCGCGGUGAAUACGUUCCCGGGCCUU
rnacentral:rRNA from 1 species